rnacentral:rRNA from 1 species
CCUACGGGAGGCAGCAGUGGGGAAUAUUGGACAAUGGGGGCAACCCUGAUCCAGCCAUGCCGCGUGUGUGAAGAAGGCCCUCGGGUUGUAAAGCACUUUCAGUGAGGAAGAACGCCUGGUGGUUAAUACCCAUCAGGAAAGACAUCACUCACAGAAGAAGCACCGGCUAACUCCGUGCCAGCAGCCGCGGUAAUACGGAGGGUGCGAGCGUUAAUCGGAAUUACUGGGCGUAAAGCGCGCGUAGGUGGCUUGAUAAGCCGGUUGUGAAAGCCCCGGGCUCAACCUGGGAACGGCAUCCGGAACUGUCAAGCUAGAGUGCAGGAGAGGAAGGUAGAAUUCCCGGUGUAGCGGUGAAAUGCGUAGAGAUCGGGAGGAAUACCAGUGGCGAAGGCGGCCUUCUGGACUGACACUGACACUGAGGUGUGAAAGCGUGGGUAGCAAACAGGAUUAGAUACCCUAGUAGUC